rnacentral:rRNA from 1 species
AGCUAAUAGAUACCCAGGUAGUCCACGCCCUAAACGAUGUCUACUAGUUGUUGGUGGAGUAAAAUCCAUGAGUAAACGCAGCUAACGCGUGAAGUAGACCGCCUGGGGAGUACGGUCGCAAGAUUAAAACUCAAAGGAAUUGACGGGGGCCCGCACAAGCGGUGGAUUAUGUGGAUUAAUUCGAUGCAACGCGAAAAACCUUACCUGGCCUUGACAUGCCACUAACGAAGCAGAGAUGCAUUAGGUGCCCGUAAGGGAAAGUGGACACAGGUGCUGCAUGGCUGUCGUCAGCUCGUGUCGUGAGGUGUUGGGUUAAGUCCCGCAACGAGCGCAACCCUUGCCAUUAAUUGCCAUCAUUUAGUUGGGCACUUUAAUGGGACUGCCGGUGACAAACCGGAGGAAGGUGGGGAUGACGUCAAGUCCUCAUGGCCCUUAUGGCCAGGGCUUCACACGUAAUACAAUGGUCGGUACAGAGAGUUGCCAACCCGCGAGGGGAGCUAAUCUCAGAAAGCCGAUCGUAGUCCGGAUUGUUCUCUGC